GAGGGCGGCCGCCAUUUUGAAACGAACAGACUCCAAAAGCACGCUCCACUGGGCCUGCCCCUGCGAUCUUAAAACAGAUGUCCGUGAAAUGUGACCCAUGAAUAGCAGUUAUCUGGAGAGAGAGCUCUGAAGCUGAUGAAACCAUUAGAGCCACUGAAGGCACCUGGUAAAUGCGAUGCGGGGAGUACAGAAGAGAGAAUCAGAAACACACCGGCACUCUCAUUCCCAUGAGGCCACUUACAAGAUUAAUCCCCAGAGGAAGCAGCUUGCCAGUGAAUGACAGCUUUUGUUUGCUCAUGUUUUCCUCUCCUCCCAGAGUCAACUUUCAGAAUAUACCAGGAUGUUCCCUCUCACUUGACUUUCUUUUCUUUUCUUUUCUUUUCUUUUUUUUUACUGGAGGAGAGGGGAGGCUCCACAGCAUAUUAUCCAAAGGCGAGGCAGAUGGUUCUUUGUCCAAUAGUGAGAGAGGGGAGAGAGGGGCCAUUGGUCUUCUCUUUUUGUGUUUUACGUUUUUACUUCUCAUGUUGAGAUGUUGUAACGGCACUUCAUACCUCCUCGGCCGCUGUUGUCUUCACAAUGCACAGAACAUGUUCCAUGUCAUGUCAUCUUGCUCUUCCCACACAACUCUUCUGUGGGGCAAUACUGGUUUUGGAAUUGCCAUUUUAGAAGUGAGCAAACAAGACUCAGAUCAAGUGACCCAGCUCAAGUCUCAUGGGCAGGAAGUGGACAAACCAAGGUCUGAACCAAACUCCAGCCUGAAUGAGAAGCACGUCCUCCUGGGAGUUACGUCAGCAGCCUGACCUUCCAUCUUCCUCCUCUAAAGAAGCGUCCCUGCCACCCUGAGCACGAAGCCCUCGGGUUCCUAAAGGCCGAGGCGCUUCUUCUCAUUUACUUCCCUUGAGGAAGAAAGACCAGCCCAUCCACCCUCAUUUCCCACCGAAGGGCAUCGCAAAUAAAGUUUGCCCACGCAACCAGGCCACCACCAUUAAUUUCUCUCUGCCCUGCUCUUACAUUCUCCUCAAGGUUUUCAGUCCCCUAGAGAGGCUCCCUUCCCUCUUUUCUUUCCUUCCUCCAGCCCCCCUUUUCACCUCCCUCCACCAUUGUUUGAGGUUAAGAAGCAUGCUACGGUGUUCUAUAAAUCACUUGGCAAGAGUAGACGACAAAAGCAAAAUAUAAUUCAGAUUAAAGUCAUCCUCCCGCUGAAAUGAUAGUUUCUUAAAUAAAUGGCGAUGCUGCCUAUCAAUCU
rnacentral:lncRNA from 1 species